rnacentral:rRNA from 1 species
AUUGAACGCUGGCGGCAGGCCUAACACAUGCAAGUCGAGCGGAUGAAGGGAGCUUGCUCCUGGAUUCAGCGGCGGACGGGUGAGUAAUGCCUAGGAAUCUGCCUGGUAGUGGGGGAUAACGUCCGGAAACGGGCGCUAAUACCGCAUACGUCCUGAGGGAGAAAGUGGGGGAUCUUCGGACCUCACGCUAUCAGAUGAGCCUAGGUCGGAUUAGCUAGUUGGUGGGGUAAAGGCCUACCAAGGCGACGAUCCGUAACUGGUCUGAGAGGAUGAUCAGUCACACUGGAACUGAGACACGGACCAGACUCCUAAGGGAGGCAGCAGUGGGGAAUAUUGGACAAUGGGCGAAAGCCUGAUACAGCCAUGGCGCGUGUGUGAAGAAGGUCUUCGGAUUGUAAAGCACUUUAAGUUGGGAGGAAGGGCAGUAAGUUAAUACCUUGCUGUUUUGACGUUACCAACAGAAUAAGCACCGGCUAACUUCGUG